rnacentral:rRNA from 1 species
AGGGUGACAGGUGGUGGCAUGGUUGUCGGUCAGCUCGUGUCGUGAGAUGUUGGGUUAAGUCCCGCAACGAGCGCAACCCUCGACCUUAGUUGCCAGCAUUCAGUUGGGCACUCUAAGGUGACUGCCGGCUAAAAGUCGGAGAAGUGGGGAUGACGUCAAAUCAUCAUGCCCCUUAUGACCUGGGCUACACACGUGCUACAAUGGGCGGUACAAAGGGUCGCGAACCCGCGAGGGGGAGCCAAUCCCAAAAAGCCGCUCUCAGUUCGGAUUGCAGGCUGCAACUCGCCUGCAUGAAGCCGGAAUCGCUAGUAAUCGCAGGUCAGCAUACUGCGGUGAAUACGUUCCCGGGUCUU